CUACGGUCGAAUACGUUCCCGGACCUUGCACACACCGCCCGUCAAGCCAUGGAAGCCGGGUGUACCUAAAGUCGGUAACCGUAAGGAGCCGCCUUAGGGUAAAAACUGGUUGACUGGGCUAAGUCGUAACUAAGGUACC
rnacentral:rRNA from 1 species